UACGGGGGGGGCAAGCGUUGUUCGGAAUUACUGGGCGUAAAGGGCUCGUAGGCGGCCAACUAAGUCAGACGUGAAAUCCCUCGGCUUAACCGGGGAACUGCAGCUGAUACUGGAUGGCUUGAGAUUGGGAGAGGGAUGCGGAAUUCCAGGUGUAGCGGUGAAAUGCGUAGAUAUCUGGAGGAACACCGGUGGCGAAGGCGGCAUCCUGGACCAACACUGACGCUGAGGAGCGAAAGCCAGGGGAGCAAACGGG
rnacentral:rRNA from 1 species